CCUCUGGCUAUAGGAAAUUGUUAGUGGCAGACGGGUGAGUAAUGCGUAGGAAUCUACCUAGUAGUACGGAAUAGCCAUUAGAAAUGGUGGGUAAUACUGUAUAAUCCCCGAGGGGGAAAGAUUUAUCGCUAUUAGAUGAGCCUACGUUAGAUUAGCUAGUUGGUGAGGUAAUGGCUUACCAAGGCUAUGAUCUAUAGCUGGUCUGAGAGGACGAUCAGCCACACUGGAACUGAGAUACGGUCCAGACUCCUACGGGAGGCAGCAGUGGGGAAUAUUGGACAAUGGGCGAAAGCCUGAUCCAGCUAUGCCGCGUGAGUGAAGAAGGCCUUCGGGUUGUAAAACUCUUUCAAUAGGGAAGAUAA
rnacentral:rRNA from 2 species